rnacentral:rRNA from 1 species
AACGAACGCUGGCGGCAUGCCUAACACAUGCAAGUCGAACGAGACCUUCGGGUCUAGUGGCGCACGGGUGCGUAUCGCGCGGGAACCUGUCCUUAGGUUCGGGAUAACUCCCCGAAAGGGGUGCUAAUACAGGAUAAUGUCUUCCGACCAAAGAUUUAUCGCCCUUGGAUGGGCCCGCGUUGGAUUAGCUAGUUGGUAGGGUAAAAGCCUACCAAGGCGACGAUCCAUAGCUGGUCUGAGAGGAUGAUCAGCCACACUGGGACUGAGACACGGCCCAGACUCCUACGGGAGGCAGCAGUGGGGAAUAUUGGACAAUGGGCGAAAGCCUGAUCCAGCAAUGCCGCGUGAGUGAUGAAGGCCUUAGGGUUGUAAAGCUCUUUUACCCGGGAUGAUAAUGACAGUACCGGGAGAAUAAGCCCCGGCUAACUCCGUG